GACGAACGCUGGCGGCGUGCUUAACACAUGCAAGUCGAACGGAAAGGCCCUGCUUUUGUGGGGUGCUCGAGUGGCGAACGGGUGAGUAACACGUGAGUAACCUGCCCUUGACUUUGUGAUAACUUCAGGAAACUGGGGCUAAUACCGGAUAGGAGCUCCUGCUGCAUGGUGGGGGUUGGAAAGUUUCGGCGGUUGGGGAUGGACUCGCGGGUUAUCAGCUUGUUGGUGGGGUAGUGGCUUACCAAGGCUUUGACGGGUAGCCGGCCUGAGAGGGUGACCGGCCACAUUGCGACUGAGAUACGGCCCAGACUCCUACGGGAGGCAGCAGUGGGGAAUAUUGCACAAUGGGCGGAAGCCUGAUGCAGCAACGCCGCGUGCGGGAUGACGGCCUUCGGGUUGUAAACCGCUUUCGCCUGUGACGAAGCGUGAGUGACGGUAAUGGGUAAAGAAGCACCGGCUAACUACGUG
rnacentral:rRNA from 1 species